UGCGUAGACGGUUUUGUAAGUCGGAUGUGAAAUCCCCGGGCUCAACCUGGGAAUUGCAUUCGAGACUGCAAGGCUAGGGUGCGGAAGAGGGAAGCGGAAUUUCCGGUGUAGCGGUGAAAUGCGUAGAUAUCGGAAGGAACAUCAGUGGCGAAAGCGGCUUCCUGGUCCAGCACCGACGUUCAGGCACGAAAGCGUGGGGAGCAAACAGGAUUAGAUACCCUGGUAGUCCACGCCAUAAACGAUGAGAACUAGACGUUGAGAGGGUAAGCCUCCCAGUGUCGCAGCUAACGCGCUAAGUUCUCCGCCUGGGGAGUACGGCCGCAAAGGUUGAA
rnacentral:rRNA from 1 species